GGCGAUAUGGCGGAAUUGGUAGACGCGUCGGAUUCAAAAUCCGAUUCUCGCAAGGGAGUGAAGGUUCGAUUCCUUUCACCGGCA
rnacentral:tRNA from 1 species